CGAGCUCGUCUUCCCCGGCGGCGGCUGCAGUCCCUCCGGCUGCUGGCGGCUCGCUCCUGCGCUGCACUAGGGCUGCCACAGCGGGAAAGGGCGGAGGCGCUGCCAAAGUGCCCGGGACGGAGCUAACUCAGUUAGGUACAACGAGUAUUUUCAUGGAAUAAUUGGAGUAGCUAUGCAGGUGCGUCCUGGUCGCAGGUUGUGUUGAGUUCCAGCAAGCAGCCAAGGGCGUGAUGGAGCAAGUGAGAAAUACUCAGCUUGAUUCAGAGAGUAGUGAGUUAAUAGGUACAUCAAAGAAUCAGUGUUUAUUUUGUCUUCAAGUAAUUAGUAUCCCACCAUUUCUGGAAGCAGGAUCAUAACCUUUUUUUUCUCUCUCCCUCUUUAGAGAAGAAUAAGCAAAAACAUGCUUCUUGGGGUUUGACACUUCUGUUCUUCUGCAAUAACUGAUUCUGCUGUACUAACAUUAACCUGUUUGGUUAAAAAAAUACCUUUUUUUAAUAAGGAUUUUUUUAAAAAACACAAAACAGCUUUGAAGACUAUUGGGAACAUUCAGCACAACUGCUGAAUCAGGCUGCCUGUUCCCAAUCAAGCAGUGUUCUGCAAAUGCAAGAGUACAAGCGUCUCCUGAUUCAGAAAUCACUAAAGAAAAGAAUGAAUUUUGUCAGGAGUCAAAAGAUUCUGAGUUCCGCUCUCAUAGCCAUUGACUGUUGUUUGACUUCAAAGGCUUCUGCACUGACCUAAACCUCAAGCUUCUACCUAGAAGGAGGUCAAGUGUAAGUGUAUUACAAAGAGCUUGCAGCACAUCCUGUAGUGUAAGCAGGAGCCUGUAGAAUUCUUUAAUGGUUUGCUGGAAUGUGCUCAUCCCAGCCUUACUGAGGCAGUGUUUGUUUCCAUAGUAGUCAUUUAAAAAUGGCACAUUUUUUUUUAUUUGGAUUCUCAGUGGGUAGUCUCCUAAAAUUCGUAUCAACUCAGAGUUUUAGUGUUUCUUCUUCAGCAAAGUAUUGCCUGGUGCCACCUACAUAAUAUGGUGCUAUGCUAGUUUAAUCAGCCUAAUGAGGAUCAUGCAAUCAUAAGGGUAAUUGCCAGUGAUUCAGGUUCUCUACAGUGGCUCUAAUGAGUCCCAUCAGAUGAGGAUGUUUGUAAAAUUUCAUCAAUCUCAACAGAACGCAGACUGCUCCAAUAAGUAAAAGUCUCCCACUUUGUAAAAUUAUGCCCCCUCCUAUGAUGCAAAAAUGAGAGCAUAUGUUUCUAUAGCCCUACACAGCCUGACUUCUCAAAGUAGAAGCACCUCCAGAUGUGUAGGGACAUGGCCAUAUCAGGACCUGCUAACUGUCACUGCUCUGUGUAGACCAGGAAGAGGACUGAAGAAAAGAAACAAGACUAUCAGCAAUAUGAAUAGAAAAGAGAAUUUAUUAAAGGAGGCAGUUAAAGAUAGCAUAAUUGUCUACAAUUGCAUAUUGUACAAUUAGAUAGAUGCCAAGAUCUCACUGUUAAAACCUCAGAGUUUUGAGGAUUUCUGUGUUUUGGUUUGGUUUUUUUUUCUUUCCUCCCACUGAAUGACAGAAUGGUUGAGGUUGGAAGGGACUGGUCCAAGCCCCCUGCUACAACAGACUCACAGCUCAUUGCCCAACACUAUGUUCAGAUGACUUUUGAAUACCUACCAAGGAUUUUCUUGGUGUCUGUUGUCAUUCUUGCUUCCUUUUUCCCUAGACCAUUUUUCCUUCUCUUAAUUCUCACCCAGACAUAUAAUCUAGAUUUUCCAGUUGUCUUGGGAGACACAGUAGCAGUCCUGCUGUGGCUGGGAAAGCUUCCAAGGCCAAAUGUAGAAUUAGCUUUCUAAACAGACACAUCUUGUAACCCCCACAGCUCCCAUGAGACUUAAGUGACAGGUUAUCCUUUGAUAUGGAUUAGGUACUUUAGAGAGACAUGAACACAGACAGUUCCUUACCAAGAGCUUCAUGAUACUGUUACCUAGUUGAAGGUAUUCAGCAGUUCCCUGACAGAAAAGCUUUCUGACUGCUAAAAUAUGGGAGUUCAGGUGUCUCCUGCAGAGAGCAUAGGCUGAGUGACAUGGUAUAAUAGGAAAAGGAGCUUUACCGAUAGCAGUCUUUUCUCUUUUUUCCAAGAAAGCACAAAAACUGUUGCUAGGUUUACAACAAGCCACACCAAAUUAGCAAUAAGUAAAUACAUGUGAUUUCCACAUAAGCACAGAAAUCUGGAUAUGUCCCUGCUGUCCUCUUAGUCGUUAGGAGAAAAACACUUUCAAAAUUUAAUUACAGUGUUCUAAGUUUUUAAAACUGGUAUUAAUACAGUCUUUUAAAAUUAACUUUCAUCUUAAUAACAAAGGAAAAAAUACCUUUGAUUAAAAUUACUGGUUUAGGCAUUCCUGAAUUUUUUAUUACUUUCAGCAGCCUUUUUGUAUGAGCAACUGAACAGUAAAUUACUUUACAACCUAAGUAAUAAAAUAUGGUCUCUGUAUUGCA